GCAGCGAAAUGCGAUAAGUAAUGUGAAUUGCAGAAUUCAGUGAAUCAUCGAUUCUUUGAACGCACCUUGCGCUCCUUGGUAUUCCGAGGAGCAUGCCUGUUUGAGUGUCAUGUUAUUCUCAAUCCCGUCUGCUUUGCGGCCGUCGGGUUUGGAUGUGGAGGCUUGCUGGCCCCUCGCGGUCGGCUCCUCUUGAAUGCAUUAGCGGGGCUUAUGCUCGAUGCAACGGUGUAAUAAUGUCUUUUCACCGGAGUAACUUGCAAUUGAAAGUCCGCUUCUAAUCGUCUCGCAUGAGACAUUGUAAAGGGAUGGAUUUCUCUUUGACACCUUUGACCUCAAAUCAGGUAGGACUACCCGCUGAACUUAAGCAUAUCAAUAAGCGGAGGA
rnacentral:rRNA from 1 species